rnacentral:rRNA from 1 species
UUCUGGUUGAUCCUGGCGGAGGCCAUUGCUAUUGGGAUCCGAUUUAGCCAUGCUAGUUGCACGAGUUCAGACUCGUAGCGAAUAGCUCAGUAACACGUGGCCAAACUACCCUUCGGAGCACCAUACCCUCGGGAAACUGAGGCUAAUAGUGCAUCCCGCACUCACCCUGGAAUGGCGAGUGCGUCAAACGCUCCGGCGCCGAAGGAUGUGGCUGCGGCCGAUUAGGUAGACGGUGGGGUAACGGCCCACCGUGCCGAUAAUCGGUACGGGUCAUGAGAGUGAGAACCCGGAGACGGAAUCUGAGACAAGAUUCCGGGCCCUACGGGGCGCAGCAGGCGCGAAACCUUUACACUGCACGACAGUGCGAUAAGGGGAUCCCAAGUGCACAGGCAUAGAGCCUGUGCUUUUGUACACCGUAGGGAAGUGUACGAAUAAGGGCUGGGCAAGACCGGUGCCAGCCGCCGCGGUAAUACCGGCAGCCCAAGUGAUGGCCGAUCUUAUUGGGCCUAAAGCGUCCGUAGCUGGCCGCACAAGUCCAUCGGGAAAUCCACCCGCCCAACGGGUGGCCGUCCGGUGGAAACUGUGUGGCUUGNGACCGGAAGGCGCGACGGGUACG